UUUUUUUUAGUGAGAACAACAUUUUAUCAAACCAUAUUUAUAUCUUCAAUAUAAAAAUAAGGAGAUGUGAUAGGAUUUUCAAAGUUAAAAAAAUAAAUGGAUUUAAGCAAUUAUAGUCGGCAAUAACAGGUUCCGACAUGAAAAAUAAGAAUUAAUACACAAACUGACGGCCUAAUUCAUAAUAAAACAAUUUACGAAAAACAUAUAUGACAUACACGAA
rnacentral:lncRNA from 1 species